CGUCACUCUGCUUCGACCACGCGCAGACGACCAUGUCCAUGCUUCUUCUUCCUCCCAGCAGCAGCAGAAGCAUGGCGCCUCCUCCGGCCCUCCGCUCCCCGCGCGCGCCUAUCUCUCCACGGACGGAAUCACCCAGACGACAUGCCAUAGCACGGUGUGACACUUCACGGACCACGCCAAGAAUAUCUGAAACUGAACCUACGCUUGCUCAACCUUCAGCACCUGUCCAAGGUGCUACCGCCCCUCUGGUUCAGGCACUGAAAUCAACUGCAGCCCAAGACGUGUCCUGUUUUCACUUCCCUGGACACAACCAAGGGAAAGCUGCUCCUUCUUCGAUGUUGGACCUUAUUGGCGCGGGCGCGUUUUCACAUGACUUGCCCGAGCUACCCGAACUCGACGACCUCUUCUACCCUAAUGGUGUGAUUUUGGAUGCUCAGAACCAGGCAGCUCAACUCUUUGGGUCAUCUAAAACAUGGUUCCUGGUCAAUGGGAGUACCUGCGGAAUCCAGGCCGCGGUGAUGGCCACCUGCUGCCCUGGUGACUACAUUGUUGUGCCUCGAAACUGUCACAUCUCAGUGAUCUCUGCCCUGGUUCUGUCCGGUGCUGUGCCUAAGUAUAUAGUACCAGAGUACAAUUCUGCAUGGGACAUUGCUGGUGGUAUUACGCCGUCACAGGUGGAUAAAGCACUGAAGGAGCUUGAGAAGGAUGACAAGAAAGUAGGUGCUGUUCUUGUUACUUCGCCGACCUACCAUGGCAUAUGCAGCGAUGUGCAAUGUAUCGUCGAUGUUUGCCAUCCUUUACACAUUCCGGUUAUAGUUGAUGAGGCUCAUGGUGCGCACUUCAGGUUCCAUCACAGUUUUCCAAGCACGGCGAUAGAGCAAGGUGCUGACUUAGCUGUGCAAUCCACGCACAAGGUUCUGAACUCUCUUACACAGUCCUCGAUGCUUCACAUGGCUGGAGGUCUGGUUGAUGCAGAUAAAGUGAGCCAAUGCCUCCAGUUGCUCCAGAGCUCAAGCCCAAGUUACCUCCUACUGUCAUCAUUAGAUGCUGCAAGAGCUCAGUUGAGCGAGAACGCUAAAUCUUUUGAUGAACCGGUGGCUAUGGCUUUAGAAACAAGAGAUCAGCUGAUGGUAAUCCCGGGGUUAUCUGUCCUGGACUUGUCAUGCUUUGCUUCUGACUUCCCUGCCAUUGAUCCUUUGCGUGUCACACUAAGUGCUUCAGAUCUACAUUUAUCUGGAUACGAGGCAGAUGACAUUUUGGAAGAGCAUCAAAUUGUAUGUGAGCUUGUCGGAACACAGGCGGUGACGUUUGCAGUCAACUUAGGGACCAGAAGGCAAGAUGUUCAAAAACUUGUACAGUGUGCAAAGCAUCUCUCAGAUAAAUACAUAUCUGCAAACGAAUCGAGAUUUAGUAAGCAUAACUAUGUUUGUAGCCCAUUGGAUAAGUUCUCUGUCAAGCUGACUCCAAGAGAGGCCUUCUUUACAAAGAAAAGAAGAGUGUGCAUGGAGGACAGCCUUGGGGAGAUUUGUGGUGAGCUUAUCUGCCCGUAUCCACCAGGUAUCCCUGUGCUGAUACCCGGUGAGGUCGUAACUCAGGAUUCGCUGUCUUACUUAAUAAACGUCAGAGACCAGGGCAUGACAAUCAGUGGAGCAGCUGAUGGUGAACUCAACUCAAUCAUGGUAUGCAACUUGUGAUGAUUAUUCUGCCAUUUCAAGAUAACUAUGUGGCAGAGAUAUUUCGAUGGUUCACGGGCUCAUGAAUCAUGAUGCUUCUGUAUAGUAUGAGGGACGAUAAGCGCGCAUCAGCCCAAGCAGAGGCUUCUUUUCUGACAGAUAUGGACAAAACUCGUCUAACGGAACAACUGACUGCCUGCUUGGCCAGACAUUGAGAAUACAUCUCGUGAAGAAAGAGCUAGCUGUCAAGCUACAAGAGGAUGCCAAAAUAUAAGUAGGGUCUAUGGCAUGUGGCCUCCUGUGAGUAUGAAGCAUAAACCACUGAAGUGGCAACCUUUUCCUGUGAAGUGCCUUGGAAUAACGGCGCGCCCAAUCUGCAUCGGCUGUGACUCCGAGCUCGACUAUCCGCUGCAGUUUGUACACCUUUUCAAGGUUUUCCAGAAGUAUGUUGCAAGGUUGCCCAAGCAGGUACUCUAGCUGCUUCUGUAAGUCCCACAUCAACUCAAGAAUUCAUUAAAUAUUCCACUGAACGUGUACCGAAAGAUUGUAUCAUCUGAUGCAUCAUUGCAAAUGUAACCACCAUUUCUUUAUUUGUGCAAAAGAAGAAGAGGCUAUACUGACAAUACUUCCAAACUAAGGCCUCCACCAAAACAUGGGGCUCGAAACAGUGACUAAAGCAGUAGAUUUCGGUUGAAAGAAUUAGAUUAAGGAACUAAUCAACUCAUACCUUGCAAUCACCAACCAGGAAAGUAAUGUGAUGUUGAUGAUGAUGAUGAUGAUGAUAAUGAUGAUGCAGUUAGGUUUUAUCACGGGUUGCCUUUCUGCCAGAAACAAAGCUCACCAUAAACAAUAAGGACCUGGUAGCUAACACUCUGCCC